GCCCGGUUGGCUCAAUGGGAGAGCGGCGCCUCCACACGGCGCAGACGAAGGUUCGAUUCCUUCACUGGGCACCA
rnacentral:tRNA from 1 species